rnacentral:lncRNA from 1 species
UGUUAUUUUAAAAUAUGAAAAUAUGUUAGAUGUCUAAUAUUUUUUUAAAAUUUUAGACAAGAUAAGUGCCAAUUUUUGAUCAUUAGAUGAAAGAGUACAAAACAGAUACAGACCCAAACCACUAUCAAUAAUAACUAAUUGAGCCCAAAUUACCAACCGAAAAUAAUAUUUAAGCUCAAUUACUAUUAUCAAAAUUUAUAGUCUCUUAUAUAUUUAAUCACAACUGCAUUCUCAUAUACAAUCUAAUAUUACGAGGCAAUGUGAGGCCUAUAUGUUUGGGGGGUUUAAAAAAUAACAGUGUUUUUUUUUUUUUU